CCUACGGGAGGCAGCAGUGAGGAAUAUUGGUCAAUGGGCGCGAGCCUGAACCAGCCAAGUAGCGUGAAGGAUGACUGCCCUACGGGUUGUAAACUUCUUUUAUAAAGGAAUAAAGUGAGGCACGUGUGCCUUUUUGUAUGUCCUUUAUGAAUAAGGAUCGGCUAACUCCGUGCCAGCAGCCGCGGUAAUACGGAGGAUUCGAGCGUUGUCCGGAUUUAUUGGGUUUAAAGGGAGCGUAGAUGGUUUGUUAAGUCAGUUGUGAAAGGUUGGGGCUCAACCCUAAAAUUGCAAAUGAUACUGGAAGUCUAGAGUACAGGUGAGGUAGGCGGAAUUCGUGGUGUAGCAGUGAAAUGCUUAGAUAUCACGAAGAACUCCGAUUGCGAAGGCAGCUUACUAAACUGCCACUGACAUUGAUGCUCGAAAGUGUGGGUAUCAAACAGGAUUAGAUACCCUAGUAGUC
rnacentral:rRNA from 1 species